CAGGGAAUUGCCUCAGUAACGGCGAGUGAGCGGCAAAAGCUCAAAUUUGAAAUCUAGCACCUUCGGUGUUCGAGUUGUAAUUUGAAGAUGGUAACCUUGGGUUUGGCUCUUGUCUAUGUUCCUUGGAACAGGACGUCAUAGAGGGUGAGAAUCCCGUCUGAUGAGAUGCCCAUUCCUAUGUAAGGUGCUAUCGAAGAGUCGAGUUGUUUGGGAAUGCAGCUCUAAGUGGGUGGUAAAUUCCAUCUAAAGCUAAAUAUUGGCGAGAGACCGAUAGCGAACAAGUACAGUGAUGGAAAGAUGAAAAGAACUUUGAAAAGAGAGUGAAAAAGUACGUGAAAUUGUUGAAAGGGAAGGGCAUUAGAUCAGACUUGGUGUUUUACGAUUAUCUUCUCUUCUUGAGUUGUGCACUCGUAUUUCACUGGGCCAGCAUCGAUUCGGAUGGCAAGAUAAUGGCAGUUGAAUGUGGCUUCACUUCGGUGGAGUGUUAUAGCUUCUGCUGAUAUUGCCUGUCUGGAUCGAGGGCUGCGUCUUUUGACUAGGAUGCUGGCGUAAUGAUCUAAUGCCGCCCGUCUUAAAAACACGGACCA
rnacentral:rRNA from 1 species